rnacentral:rRNA from 1 species
AGUGAACGCUGGCGGUAGGCCUAACACAUGCAAGUCGAACGGCAGCACAGAGGAGCUUGCUCCUUGGGUGGCGAGUGGCGGACGGGUGAGGAAUACAUCGGAAUCUACUCUGUCGUGGGGGAUAACGUAGGGAGACUUACGCUAAUACCGCAUACGACCUACGGGUGAAAGCAGGGGAUCUUCGGACCUUGCGCGAUUGAAUGAGCCGAUGUCGGAUUAGCUAGUUGGCGGGGUAAAGGCCCACCAAGGCGACGAUCCGUAGCUGGUCUGAGAGGAUGAUCAGCCACACUGGAACUGAGACACGGUCCAGACUCCUACGGGAGGCAGCAGUGGGGAAUAUUGGACAAUGGGCGCAAGCCUGAUCCAGCCAUACCGCGUGGUGAAGAAGGCCUUCGGGUUGUAAAGCCCUUUUGUUGGGAAAGAAAUCCAUCUGGUUAAUACCCGGGUGGGAUGACGGUACCCAAAGAAUAAGCACCGGCUAACUUCGUGCCAGCCGCCGCAGUAA